CUUGUUGACUGAUGCCAAGGCGGAGGCUGCUAAGGAUGCAGUUGCAGACCAGAAGACAGCAGCCAAGGAAGCACUGAUCCACACCUGCCCUGUCUGUUGGAUGCAGACCCUUAGACAUUCAAGCAGAACUUUGAGAGCAAGCAUUCCAAGUCUCCAAUGGUCCCAGUACUGGUUGACGUGCAGGCCUAAGUGACCACACACUCAAAUGGACCUACAGCUGGGACACACAAUGACCACGAUUUGAAGGCUGCAAUGGAGACGGAAUGAUGUCGAGGGACACGCGCUGAGACCCCGAGUAUAACUGGACAUGGGCCGGAUAUGUGACAACGACCUAAAAGGGGUGCAGAAUCAAACCAUUUUAUAUUUAUUCCAUGGCCAACAAUCCCUCUAGCUACCCCUUAUUCCACAUGGCCUUUUAUGCCCCAUGGUCCCUCAACUUCGGACCUCUCCAUCUUCUCUAUAAACCCACCCUACAUUUACCCAUUUUCCCUAUGCUGCUUCUUUCACUUGUUGUUCUCCUGAUUUGAUAACAUCUAGACUCAGUAACACGUUUAAAAGUGUUGCUGUGUACUACUGUUUUUGCUACUGUUUUCCCCACCUGUGUAAUGCUGUCCUGCUGCUUAUUCUGGGGUUUUGACAAUGCAGUGUCAAAUGUUCUGCUCACAAUUGACAGCAGCAAAAUGGACCUGUUAAAUUGACAAGAAAGGUGUUGAUAUAGCUGCUUUUAGGCAUGGCUACCUUGUUGAGUCUGUUAAGUGCAUUUCUCAUUCUACUUGAGUUGACACAGUAUUUUAUAUUUAACCUACCGUAGCCAUUUCUUUUGUAACUCCAUUUUUAACUCACCCACCAUAAAUCACAAUAUGCUGUUUUACAUUGUGUUAUUUGUGAUGGUCUUAAUUCCCAAAAUGGACAAGCAGAAGAAUCUGUGCACGCUCGGAUAGUAAUAAUAGUUAAUAUGUCCCAGGUUUGUGGCAUUGAAUCUUUACUUCAAGUUAGAUGUUUAUAUGUUAUGUAUGCAUUGUUCACCAUUUCGAUUUCUUUAAAACAAUGUAAUUGUUGGAGUUCAGGUGUUUGAGUGA